AAAGGAACACUAUGAGCAAGCCUCGGUUUUUUCUCGCUCUGCUUCUCAUGGCAGUGCUUCUUUCUCUCUCCUUCUCUCAAGGUGGUGCCUCUCUCCUCAUCUCAUUUUUUAUUUUGUAGCUAUAUAUUUGUUUAUGUUUAAGCUUAUUUUCUCAUGUUGGUUUUUUAGGCUUUGGGAGGAGGAUUCAGGUUAUGAGCCAUUCACUUGAGCCACUGCAUGAGGUAUAUAUAUAUAUAUGUUGGAACUAUUUUCAAAUUAUUGUUUUAAAGUUUUCAGUGGGUUAUAAUUCAUUUCAGUAGCUCAGCAGAUAGUGCAUGCGACAUAAUUCACCUGAUAUAUACUUGCUGAUAACAUGGCAUUAUUGAUUAUCGAAAUAGGCUUACUUAUUAAGCAGUUUAGUUUUUAUCUUUUAUUUUUCUUAAUAUUCGAUUUCAGGAGAGUUUAAAGAUAAGGAGGGAGAUGACGGAGGAGGAGGAGAUGGACUACAGCGGCCCGAAAGCAAACACUAACCCAAAGGACGGGGGGAUAUACAAUUCCCCAGCUCCCAUUCUUCCUCCUCCAAGUCAUUAAUUGCGUAGAAAUAGCGUAAAAAGAAAAAAAAAAUUAUUUGUUUACUUGAUGCUUUUAGUCUCAAUUCUAUCUACGGUUUUUUCGUAUAAGUAGUGGAUGGUUUCAUUUGCAUGCUCAAUAAGCUCAGAUAUUACUAUUCAUGCAAAAAAGAAAAAGAUAAAAAAAAAAAGAACAAAAGCUUGUACCUCUUUUUGUAAUGCCUUCCAAUGUUUUGUAUCGAUCAACGCAUUAAUCGUGAUGCACUUUUUCGUUCCUGUGUUAGUUAGAGGCCUUGAUGGUUCCAAAAUUCAGAGGGAAAUUUAUCGUUUUUCUUUUUUGGUUCUAAGUUCGUAAUUCGAAAAAUUGUUGUCCAUAAUUAAGCAUUUAAUUAGUGUCUUUCUCACAUAUCUAGCUGACUAUUUAAGUUUUAAUGAAUGUUAGCUAUACCGAAAUGUUUACACAUUAAUUAUCAUGUCUUGUCCUUUUUUAUGAUAUGUGAAUGUCACGCGCAGAUAUUUAGCAUUAGCAAUUACGGAGAAGAUAACAUCCAUUUUUAUUUUUUGAAUGUAGAACAUGAAUUCUUUUAGGAACAAUUCAAUAGUUUUUACUGAUAAUUACGUUGUUAAUUUAGUUGGCGGAUCAACAAUGGAAGUUAAUUCAACGUCGAACGUGCAUGGGACCUUGUUAUCCAGGGAUUAAUUUAA
rnacentral:lncRNA from 1 species